rnacentral:rRNA from 1 species
AAAUAGAUACCCUGGUAGUCCAUGCCGUAAACGAUGUCUACUAGCCGUUGGGGCCUUUGAGGCUUUAGUGGCGCAGCUAACGCGAUAAGUAGACCGCCUGGGGAGUACGGUCGCAAGACUAAAACUCAAAUGAAUUGACGGGGGCCCGCACAAGCGGUGGAGCAUGUGGUUUAAUUCGAUGCAACGCGAAGAACCUUACCUGGCCUUGACAUACUAAGAACUUUCCAGAGAUGGAUUGGUGCCUUCGGGAACUUAGAUACAGGUGCUGCAUGGCUGUCGUCAGCUCGUGUCGUGAGAUGUUGGGUUAAGUCCCGCAACGAGCGCAACCCUUUUCCUUACUUGCCAGCAUUUCGGAUGGGAACUUUAAGGAUACUGCCAGUGACAAACUGGAGGAAGGCGGGGACGACGUCAAGUCAUCAUGGCCCUUACGGGCCAGGGCUACACACGUGCUACAAUGGUCGGUACAAAGGGUUGCUACUGCGCGAGCAGAUGCUAAUCUCAAAAAGCCGAUCGUAGUCCGGAUCGCAGU